CGAGUCCUGUUAAGGUCGAAUUAAGCUUUGCGCGUUAGGGUCUCGUUAUUCAGAUUGUUCUGAAUUUUUCAGAGUGGUUUCUCCCUCUGUUUGACGCCUCCCUGUUAACUUCGAGAGCCGCAAAUGCUGUGGCUCUUUUUCU
rfam:Devosia sp. S37 DIN_R1_(paired)_trimmed_(paired)_contig_94, whole genome shotgun sequence.